UCGGAACGCGGUCUGCCUUCGGAACGCGGUCUGCCUUCGGAACGCGGUCUGCUGGAAACAUCAGACGCUUUCCAGCCUGCUCCCUGGAGUCCCUUCCACACAGUGCUUUGAGGCGAAGUGACACACAGUUGUGGCUGGGAGAAGGUUUUUUGGCAGCCUGCUCCAGCUGCUUGCCUUUUUGAAGUCCUUGCACCUCUCUCCCUUAGUUCUGUGAAUGAGAACAUGACCACAAAGCAGCCCUCCUGCAUCAGGGGGCUGGGGUACACUGACCCCAGGGUGGGACCGGGUGCGUACACACCCGUAGUGUGGUGCAGGCUCUGAAAGGUUGACCUGAGAACAUUGAGGCAGCCCUUUCUCAGGAUCUAGGUCCCGAUCUCCUAGGCGCAGAUCCCCCGUUCGCCGGCGAUCAAGAUCCAGAUCUCCUGGACGAAGGCGCCAUCGCAGCCGCUCCAGCUCAAACUCUUCACGAUAAAGCAAAAAGACUGGACAGCUUUUUAUUUUUUAACUUAAAUCCCAUUGCUGAAGUGACGAUAGUUUCUGCACGUUGAACUCUCCCGUAAUGCCAGUACCAGUCGAACGCUGCAGAAACAGCGCGGCCUGGGGAGCUUUAGG
rnacentral:lncRNA from 1 species